UCAAAUUUGAAAUCUGGCUUCGGCCCGAGUUGUAAUUUGUAGAGGAUGCUUUUGGUGCGGUGCCUUCUGAGUUCCCUGGAACGGGACGCCUUAGAGGGUGAGAGCCCCGUAAAGUUGGACACCAAGCCUAUGUAAAGCUCCUUCGACGAGUCGAGUAGUUUGGGAAUGCUGCUCAAAAUGGGAGGUAAAUUUCUUCUAAAGCUAAAUACCGGCCAGAGACCGAUAGCGCACAAGUAGAGUGAUCGAAAGAUGAAAAGCACUUUGAAAAGAGGGUUAAAUAGUACGUGAAAUUGUUGAAAGGGAAGCGCUCAUGACCAGACUUGUGCCCUGCGGAUCAUCCAGCCUUCUGGCUGGUGCACUUCGCUUGGUUCAGGCCAGCAUCGGUUCUCUGAGGGGGAUAAAAGCUUCAGGAACGUAGCUCCUUCGGGAGCAUUAUAGCCUGUUGCACAAUACC
rnacentral:rRNA from 2 species